rnacentral:misc_RNA from 1 species
AAGUCGUAACAAGGUUUCCGUAGGUGAACCUGCGGAAGGAUCAUUAAAAAAAAUAUUAUACAUCUCUUCUAGGAUUAAACACUAAAUGUUAUAUUUCAAUAAGUUUAAAAUAAAAAACUUUCAACAACGGAUCUCUUGGUUCUC